rnacentral:lncRNA from 1 species
UCGACCUGAAGGCUCAGGCACGAACAAGGGAAAAGAAAAGCUGUUCGAAUGAGAUUUAGUAUGAGUUAAUGGUUAUAGUUAGUAAGACAAUGGAAUCUAUUGUCAGGUAUUGUAAGGAAUGUAUUUGAAGGUCACGUACCUGGGGAAGUAAACUUUGAGGUAUGUAAAUUAAGUUCGAAUGUAUUAUUAUUUAGUAUUAUUCAGCUUAAAGAAAUGGUAUCGUGGGGAACCGAGUUCGGGUUUCAAGUAUCCGGAUUUGGGGUCGCCACAGAUGCUAUCACUUGUGUUCCCUACUCUGGGGACCAUUUAACCGUUGGGUUUGAGGAUGGGUACCUGACUGGUGUCGAGUACGUGAUAUCCACCCGUAGGAUUCCUCUCUUCACAGAUGGAGGAUGGGAGCUCUAUUUGGGAGAGCGUGAUAUUAGAGCACCACAUGGGAGAUUCGUAUACCGAUCUUGCCUCUUGCUAGGCGUUAUUGGCAUGUGUCUCAGUUGCCUGUGAUUAAUAUCCCAUUGAUGAGCGUUGACAACUUUACGUUGUCAGAGGGUCUGUAUACUCAGGAUAUGUUCCAUCACUGGUGGUCCCCUCGUACCAUUGGAGCCCAGACCCGCACCACUCAGUUCAUGGGGAAUUGGUUCCUGGAUCCGUGAUGAUGACGAAUUGGAUGGCCUGUGUCCGAGAUCUGACUCAAUUGACACAAAUUGACAUUUUGACCCGGUAGUUGGACUGUGCACAUUUCUUCAUCCGACACUUGGGCAGAGAUCUUUCUGAGGCAGAUACUUUUAAUCCUUCCAGCUCUGGGGCUAGCCCUUUAGGUGACCCAUAUUGUUUUGCAGGCGCAUAUCCUCCAUUGUAUAG